AACGAACGCUGGCGGCAUGCCUAACACAUGCAAGUCGAACGAGACCUUCGGGUCUAGUGGCGCACGGGUGCGUAACGCGUGGGAACCUGCCCUUAGGUUCGGAAUAACUCCCCGAAAGGGGUGCUAAUACCGGAUAAUGUCUUCGGACCAAAGAUUUAUCGCCUUUGGAUGGGCCCGCGUUGGAUUAGCUAGUUGGUAGGGUAAAAGCCUACCAAGGCGACGAUCCAUAGCUGGUCUGAGAGGAUGAUCAGCCACACUGGGACUGAGACACGGCCCAGACUCCUACGGGAGGCAGCAGUGGGGAAUAUUGGAAAAUGGGCGAAAGCCUGAACCAGCAAUGCCGCGUGAGUGAUGAAGUCCGUAGGGAUGUAAAGCUCUUUUACCCGGGAUUAUAAUGACAGUACCGGAAGAAUAAGCUCCGGCUAACUCCGUG
rnacentral:rRNA from 1 species